ensembl:lncRNA
CCAAUAACACACCUCACCAAUAACACACCAGGUCCAGCACUCCCCAAUAACACACCUCACCAAUAACACACCUCACCAAUAACACACCAGGUUCAGCACUCCCCAAUAACACACCUCACCAAUAACACACCAGGUCCAGCACUCCCCAAUAACACACCUCACCAAUAACACACCAGGUCCAGCACUCACCAAUAACACACCUCACCAAUAACACACCUCACCAAUAACACACCAGGUCCAGCACUCACCAAUUACACACCUCACCAAUUACACACCUCACCAAUAACACACCUCACCAAUAACACACCUCACCAAUUACACACCUCACUGAUAACACACCUCACCAAUAACACACCUCACCAAUAACACACCUCACCAAUAACACACCUCACCAAUCACACACCAGGUCCAGCACUCACCGAUAACACACCUCACCAAUAACGCACCUCACCGAUAACACACCUCACCAAUAACGCACCUCACCGAUAACAUACCUCACCAAUAACGCACCUCACCGAUAACACAGCUCACCGAUAACACACCUGACAGUUGCAGGACAGAACAUCCCUCUCUCCCCCUCAGUUUCCAGUCUAGCUGUAAAGAUCGAUUCCUCCCUGACCUUUGACAGCCACAUCAAACAACUGUUUGUCAUUCUGGGGUGGCAGCGUAGCCUAGUGGUUAGAGCGGUGGACUAGUAACCGAAAGGUUGCAAGUUCGAAAUCCCUGAGCAGACAAGGUACAAAUCUGUCGUUCUGUCCCUGAACAAGGCAGUUAACCCACUGUUCCUAGGCCGUCAUUGAAAAUAAGAAUUUGUUCUUAACUGACUUGCCAAGUUAAAUAAAAUAAAACAAUUCUAUCACCUCGUGAACAUUGCCAAACUCCGUCUCACUCAGUCUGAGGCAGAGAAACUGGUCCAUUUCUUUAUCUCCUCAAGGCUGGACGACUACAACACAGUCUUCACCUGGAUCCCUGGCAGGAGUCUCCAGGACUACAACACAGUCUUCACCUGGAUCCCUGGCAGGAGUCUCCAGGACUACAACACAGUCUUCACCUGGAUCCCGGGUAGGAGUCUCCAGAAGCUCCAGUACAUCCAGAACAGUACUGCCAGGAUCCUGAUGAGAGUCAGGAAACACCAUGACUUCAACCCCAUCCCGGCAUCUCUGCACUGGCUCCCAGUCUCAUAACCCUCCUGGUGACCUUCCAGUGUAGUCAUGG